GACGAACGCUGGCGGCGUGCCUAAUACAUGCAAGUCGAGCGAACAGACGAGGAGCUUGCUCCUUCGACGUUAGCGGCGGACGGGUGAGUAACACGUAGGUAACCUACCUAUAAGACUGGGAUAACUUCGGGAAACCGGAGCUAAUACCGGAUAAUAUUUCGAACCGCAUGGUUCGAUAGUGAAAGAUGGCUUUGCUAUCACUUAUAGAUGGACCUGCGCCGUAUUAGCUAGUUGGUAAGGUAACGGCUUACCAAGGCAACGAUACGUAGCCGACCUGAGAGGGUGAUCGGCCACACUGGAACUGAGACACGGUCCAGACUCCUACGGGAGGCAGCAGUAGGGAAUCUUCCGCAAUGGGCGAAAGCCUGACGGAGCAACGCCGCGUGAGUGAUGAAGGUCUUCGGAUCGUAAAGCUCUGUUAUUAGGGAAGAACAAACGUGUAAGUAACUGUGCACGUCUUGACGGUACCUAAUCAGAAAGCCACGGCUAACUACGUG
rnacentral:rRNA from 1 species